rnacentral:rRNA from 1 species
UACGUAGGGGGCGAGCGUUAUCCGGAUUCACUGGGUGUAAAGGGAGCGUAGACGGCCAUGCAAGCCAGGGGUGAAAGCCCGGGGCCCAACCCCGGGACUGCCCUUGGAACUGCAAGGCUGGAGUGCGGGAGGGGCAGGCGGAAUUCCUGGUGUAGCGGUGAAAUGCGUAGAUAUCAGGAGGAACACCGGCGGCGAAGGCGGCCUGCUGGACCGCGACUGACGUUGAGGCUCGAAAGCGUGGGGAGCGAACAGG